UACGAAGGGGGCUAGCGUUGUUCGGAUUUACUGGGCGUAAAGGGCGCGUAGGCGGCACGUUUAGUCAGGUGUGAAAGCCCUGGGCUCAACCCGGGAAAUGCACUUGAUACUGGCGAGCUAGAGGAUGGGAGAGGAUGGUGGAAUUCCCAGUGUAGAGGUGAAAUUCGUAGAUAUUGGGAAGAACACCGGUGGCGAAGGCGGCCAUCUGGACCAUUUCUGACGCUGAGGCGCGAAAGCGUGGGGAGCAAACAGG
rnacentral:rRNA from 1 species